CCAAAAACAAAGAUUUAGGAGCCCAUCUUUAGGCAUUCAUUUUUAAAAAUGGAAAAAGAUUAUAGGGAAAGUUAAUUGUCUAAUUGUGUAUAUAUGUGUAGCUGAGAGCAUAGCAAUAGCUCAGGAUCACAGCAUAGAUGCGAUUGAAUUUUACAGCCACCUCACUCACUGACACACCUUCCAUUGGUUAGUAUCCUGGAAACCUCAAUCCAUAAACCUGAAAGAGAUUUGACUAAAAAAACAGAAUGUUGUGUGAAACACAUCUCAGUUUCCUGAAUUUUGGACAGAGGAUGGUUAAAUCCCCCAGGCUGGUGCAUAGUUAAUUUUGAGAUCUGAUAAAUUAACUAAAUCUGAUCUGAUUCUCAUCACAAAUAAUUUGAUUGAUUUCUCUUUCUGGAAUAAGCUCCAUAUACAUGUUUUUUCUGUCCUGUCUUUUUAGCUGUUCAUAUGCAUUCUGUGCUGUCAGCAACAUUCAACUUGAUUUUCUCAACUGAAAUAGAAACAUUAAAUAGAGGAAAAAUGCGUCAGGAACAUCAAAGAAAAUGUGGAAUAAUGGGCUGCUAAGGCCCACAUUUUACAAUGUAUGUUUACAAGAUUCUUGUUUUACACCAAAUGUUGGUAAAAUGAGGGAGAUAAUUGGAGGAACAGUGACCUAUUCUCUACUGAAGGCAUCUGUCAUCAUAUCACUAAGGUGGAAUGGUACACAGUCAUGAGGAGCUACUGGACUCUCUAUUACACAGAUUGCAAUAGUGGAGAGGAAUCCCUUCUUCCAUCUUUGACUGAUAGGAGACUGUGUCAGUUCCUCUCUGAUGAGGAUCUAGCCUUCGUGAUCCACAUUUUAGCACCUUCAAGUUAGAUUAUUGCAACACAUAGGGCCAUAUGGAAGCAUGACUAGCAAAUUACCUUUGAGGCAAGAAAGACUGAAGAACAUGCAUUACAUCAGUACUCUGUAUGUGCCACUGGUUCCCAUUUGGUUCCAGAUCUAAUUCAAGAUUAGAGUCUUCAUUUUUAAUGGUCUGGGGUCUAGUUUCCCUCAGGACUGACUCCAGAGAUGCUCCAGAAAAUGAGGACAAAAGCUGACUUCCUUUCAGAAAGGGGACAAUGCAAGAUUCAUCUUUUCACACAACCCUUCCUUCAAGGAUGAUGGUAUAAAAAUGCUCUGGUGAUACACCUUGCUGGGGAAAAAAGAAGGAACAAAGAAACAUUGAAAAACACAAAGUAAUACUGUCACACUGAAUGAUGGAGCCUAGAUGCCCUUUAUGGGAAAAUAUUUUUUAAUUUACUUUUGUACAUAGUGCCCAGAAACCUUGUUAU
rnacentral:lncRNA from 1 species